GCUCUAAUGGUGUAAUGGUUAGCACUCUGGACUUUGAAAUCCAGCGAUCCGGGUUCAAAUCCCGGUAGGAGCU
rnacentral:tRNA from 1 species